UCAAUACAGAAUAACCGACUCCGAGGCUCUAGCUGCAUCAAUGGAGGCAGCUGGAAAGAUUCGUAUGAUGAUAGAGGCAAAACUCUCUCCUGGGCCUUCCGUAUGUAAUAUCCGUAGACAUGGUGACAGUAGUCGUUUGCAUGAUGUUGGUGUCAGUGUUGCCAGUGGUAAUUUUCUUGCGGCCAAGAGAAGAGGAGUUGUUGGUGGCGUUGAUUUUGGAGCAACUGGUGAAGUAAA
rnacentral:misc_RNA from 1 species